CCCGCCUUAGCUCAGAGGUAGAGCGUGGGACUGUAGGAUCCCAUGGUCCCCGGUUCAAAUCCGGGAGGCGGGA
rnacentral:tRNA from 1 species